GUUGGUGUGUUAGAAAAAUACAUAAAAAGGCUGAGUUCUGCUAUCUUGAUAAGAAAUAAAAUUACCCUAAGAGAAAAUCCUAACUUCAAGUGAAUUUAAUCAGAAUACCUCUUUCUGACAUUUUGGUAUAUAGUUGUAACUGAUACCUCACCAGUUACAUAAAAAAGUUUAUUAUUAUUAGUUAUAUUCAGAACCUUUCCUGAAUAACAACUAACAAUGGACAACAGUUU
rnacentral:lncRNA from 1 species